GUUCCUCAAUCAUUGUUAUUUGGCAUCUCGAAUCUCCACACCAUGUUAAUAUUUUUUUGCUAUUCUAUUUUUUUAUUAUGUGCUUAAAUUUUUAUUUUUAUUUGUUCAUAAUAAUAAUCUUAUUUUUACUAUUUGCUUGUUACAAUGAAAUAAUUUAGAAUUCAUUAAAUUGAAUUUAAGUUAUCGGCAAUCCUCAAUUAUUUGAUCCUUAAUUACUAAUUGUGCAAAUUACACCAUAUUAUUCUAAAUUUGUCUAAAUUUAAUGUAGAGGUAUUAUUCUAAAAAAAAUUACAAACGUUCAAAGCCAAUUUUAACUACUCAAGCUUCAACUGACUUGAAAGAACAAGCUAAUGAGUCAAAAAAAAUAUCUACGAAUUGAAGGAAUUGAUUUAAGUUCAUUGGAUUGAUCCUGGGGAAAUAUUACCUACUUAUCAAAUGAUCAUAAUGCAAUAAGGAGGUCAUAUCUUCAACAAGUUCCAUCCAACAAGGUCAUAUGUUUCCUUUUUUUCAUUUUUUUUUAAAGAUUGCAAUACAAUCUCAUGUUGAAUAAUGUUGUAUAAAACUUUAUUUAAUAAUAUGAAGACGUGAAUGAUUUAAUUUAAAAUUUUAAAAUAUUAUCUAAUUAAAAAAGUAGAUAAUUUUUUAAUUUUUUUAUAAUUUAAUCAAAAUUUCAUAUUUUUAAGAAAAAUAUUUUUUCAUAAAGUUCACUGUUAAUGGGGCCUCACAUUUUUGGAGGCCUAAAGCAAAAUCUUCA
rnacentral:lncRNA from 1 species